UGCCUAACAGCUAGCCCAGUAAAUCAAAAGCAACAAUUCAUUAUUAAUAACCCCUAAUACAAUAAAGUAAAUUAAACAAAUCAUUUUUCCCCCUUAGUAUGGGCGACAGAAAAGGAAUCACGGAGCAAUAGAGAAAGUACCGCAAGGGACUGCUGAAAAAGAAAUGAAACAACUUAGUAAAGCCUAAAAAAGCAGAGUUUUAAACUCGUACCUUUUGCAUCAUGAUUUAGCUAGUGUAAUUUAAGCAAAGCGCACUAUAGUUUAUUACCCGAAACUAAGUGAGCUACUCCAAGACAGCCUAUUAAUAGGGCCAACCCGUCUCUGUCGCAAAAGAGUGGGAAGAGCUUUGAGUAGAGGUGACAGACCUACCGAACUUAGUAAUAGCUGGUUGCCUAAGACUUGAAUAGGAGUUCAGCCCCUUCGCUUCUUUAUUCACAUCAGACUCACCUCCUCUGAUAUAUAGAAACUUAGGGAGUUAUUCAAAGGGGGUACAGCCCCUUUGAAACAAGACACAACUUUUAUAGAAGGAUAAAGAUCAUAAUAAUUAAGGUAAAGUACCCGAGUGGGCCUAAAAGCAGCCAUCUCUAUAGAAAGCGUUAAAGCUCAAGUAUAAUUUUAACCCCCGAUAUUGAUCACCCAAUCUUAUUCCUCUAGUCCUAUUAGGCCGUUCUAUGCUAACAUAGAAGUGAUAAUGCUAAUAUGAGUAAUAAGAGAGCACCGACUCUCUCCCAGCACGUGUGUAAAUCGAAUCGGACAAGCCAUCGAAUUUUAACGGCCCCAAACAAAGAGGGAACUGAGCAACUAAUUAGAGAACCAGAAAAAAUCUCACCUCUAACCGUUACCCCUACACAGGAGUGCUUACAAGGAAAGACUAAAAGAAAGAGAAGGAACUCGGCAAACAUUUUAAAGCCUCGCCUGUUUACCAAAAACAUCGCCUCUUGCAAAUCAAAGAAUAAGAGGUCCCGCCUGCCCUGUGACAUAAGUUUAACGGCCGCGGUAUUUUGACCGUGCGAAGGUAGCGCAAUCACUUGUCUAUUAAAUGUAGACCUGUAUGAAUGGCAAAACGAGGGCUUAACUGUCUCCUCUCUCAAGUCAAUGAAAUUGAUCUUCCCGUGCAGAAGCGGGAAUACAAACAUAAGACGAGAAGACCCUAUGGAGCUUUAGAUCACGGAACAGUCCAUGUUAAAUCCUCUUAAAAUAAAAGACUAAACAUAAUGGGCCCUGUCCUGUGUCUUUGGUUGGGGCGACCGCGGAGAAAUAAAUAACCUCCAUGUGGAAUAAUAAUACAGUUAUUUUAUAUAAGAGCUACAGCUCUAUUAAACAGAAUUUCUGACCAAAAAGAUCCGGCAUUGCCGAUCAACGGACCGAGUUACCCUAGGGAUAACAGCGCAAUCCCCUUUUAGAGCCCAUAUCGACAAGGGGGUUUACGACCUCGAUGUUGGAUCAGGACAUCCUAAUGGUGCAGCCGCUAUUAAGGGUUCGUUUGUUCAACGAUUAAAGUCCUACGUGAUCUGAGUUCAGACCGGAGUAAUCCAGGUCAGUUUCUAUCUAUGAUAUGUUCUUUUCUAGUACGAAAGGACCGAAAAGAAGAGGCCAAUUCUUUAGGUACGCCUCAUCCCCACCUAAUGAAAUCAACUAAAUUAGGCAAGAGGCCAUAUCCUCUCAGCCGAAGAUAACGGCUU
rnacentral:rRNA from 1 species